UACGUAGGUGGCAAGCGUUAUCCGGAUUUAUUGGGCGUAAAGGGAACGCAGGCGGUCUUUUAAGUCUGAUGUGAAAGCCUUCGGCUUAACCGGAGUAGUGCAUUGGAAACUGGGAGACUUGAGUGCAGAAGAGGAGAGUGGAACUCCAUGUGCAGCGGUGAAAUGCGUAGAUAUAUGGAAGAACACUAGUGGCGAAAGCGGCUCUCUGGUCUGUAACUGGCGCUGAGGUUCGAAAGCGCGGGUAGCAAACAGG
rnacentral:rRNA from 1 species